GACGAACGCUGGCGGCGUGCUUAACACAUGCAAGUCGAACGGAAAGGCCCUGCUUGCAGGGUACUCGAGUGGCGAACGGGUGAGUAACACGUGGGUGAUCUGCCCUGCACUUCGGGAUAAGCCUGGUAAACUGGGCCUAAUACCGGAUAGGAGCCAUUUUUAGCGUGAUGGUUGGAAAGUUUUUUCGGUGUAGGAUGAGCUCGCGGCCUAUCAGCUUGUUGGUGGGGUAAUGGCCUACCAAGGCGGCGACGGGUAGCCGGCCUGAGAGGGUGGACGGCCACAUUGAGACUGAGAUACGGCCCAGGCUCCUACGGGAGGCAGCAGGGGGGAAUAUUGCACAAGGGGCGCAAGCCUGAUGCAGCGAGGCCGCGUGGGGGAUGACGGCCUUCGGGUUGUAAACUCCUUUCGCUAGGGACGAAGCUUUUUGUGACGGUACCUAGAUAGGAAGCACCGGCUAACUACGUG
rnacentral:rRNA from 1 species